GAUAACAGAGUCUAUUAUAUCAGGUCUGGAGGGGGGAGGAUAACAGAGUCUAUUAUAUCAGGUCUGGAGGGGGGAGGAUAGCAGAGUCUAUUAUAUCAGGUCUGGAGGGGGGAGGAUAACAGAGUCUAUUAUAUCAGGUCUGGAGGGGGGAGGAUAGCAGAGUCUAUUAUAUCAGGUCUGGAGGAUAACAGAGUCUAUUAUAUCAGGUCUGGAGAGGGGAGGAUAACAGAGUCUAUUAUAUCAGGUCUGGAGGGGGGAGGAUAGCAGAGUCUAUUAUAUCAGGUCUGGAGGGGGGAGGAUAGCAGAGUCUAUUAUAUCAGGUCUGGAGGAUAACAGAGUCUAUUAUAUCAGGUCUGGAGGAUAACAGAGUCUAUUAUAUCAGGUCUGGAGGAUAGCAGAGUCUAUUAUAUCAGGUCUGGAGGAUAACAGAGUCUAUUAUAUCAGGUCUGGAGGGGGGAGG